rnacentral:rRNA from 1 species
GACGAACGCUGGCGGCGUGCUUAACACAUGCAAGUCGAACGGAAAGGCCCUGCAUUUGUGGGGUGCUCGAGUGGCGAAAGGGUGAGUAACACGUGAGUAACCUGUCCUUGAGUUUGGGAUAACUUCAGGAAACUGGGGCUAAUACAGGAGAGGAGCUCCUGCAGCAUGGGGGGGGUUGGAAAGAUUGGGCGGUGGGGGAUGGACUUGCGGCUUAUCAGCUUGUUGGGUGGGUAGGGGCUUACAAAGGCAUUGGUGGGUAGCCGACCUGGGAGGGUGACCGGGCACAGUGCGCUUGCGGUACGGCCCAGACGCCUACUGUGGGCAGAAGUGGGAGUCAUUGCACACUGGGCGGAAGCCUGAUGCAGCAACGCCGCGUGCGGAAUGACGGUCUUUUGGUUGUAAACCGCUUUAGCUUGUGACGAGGCGUGAGUGACGGUAAUGUGUAAAGAAGCACCGGCUAACUACGUG